rnacentral:lncRNA from 1 species
ACAAGUCAGUAGCCUCUGAUUUGGAGAGUAAUCGAUUGGUAAAUCGAUUGAACAUUUCACAAAUCAAACCUGAUGGUAACACAUCGAUUGGUAAAUCGAUUGGAUGAGUCACAGUGGCACUCCAGUGCUGAGGAAAUCGAUUGGCAAAUCGAUUGACGAAGUAUCCUUUGAAAAAUGACCUCACCUGUGACAAAUACAAUCGAUUGGACAAUCUAUUGUUAACACUUUCUUUUUGAUAAAGUUUGGUUGCAAUCGAUUGGGAAAUCGAUUGAACUAAACAACAGGUAAAAACUUU